GUGACUUAAGAAUGCCUAUCUGGGAAUCCAGCCCAGUAGGUUUCAGCCUCAUUUUAACCAGCUUCUACUUAAGAUGGAGUUGCCCUGGUUCAAACGCCUCUGACCAAAUGAUCCCUAAAGAUCUGUGACCAGAAGAUCCACUCUCCUUUCCUGACCUUUUUCUACUUGUCAGCUGUAAAGUCAACAAAGGACUAUAUGGAGUCCUUCCCAAGGUCACCUUACAUGUUGGACUUGGGAGUUGAUGUCAGUCACCUUGAAACUGUACUCAAAUAAUAAUCCUCAAAGGAGUUCUCAGCCUCUUAACCUCCUGGACCAGCUUUUAAAAAAAGAAAGAAAAAAGAAGGGGAAAAAGCAGUCUGCCCAGGCUCUCCUUGAAAAAGGAUAAAGAACCAGACCAUGCCAGAGAUCCGUGGAGCCAUCGGCUGGUCUGAAGAGGUCGGCCUCCUUACUGGAUUCUCCAUCACCCUUUUGCAAAGAAUAACAUCACCUAAUAAGGACAAACAGCCUCCAAUGUGUACUCAGUCAUUUGUCCAGUGAAUAAACAAUGUUACCGAUUU